AGAGUUUGAUCAUGGCUCAGAACGAACGCUGGCGGCGCGCCUAACACAUGCAAGUCGAGCGCCUCGCAAGAGGAGCGGCGGACGGGUGAGCAACGCGUGGGAACCUGCCCUGGAGUCCGGGACAACCGCGGGAAACUGCGGCUAACACCGGAUGAUCCCCGCAAGGGGGAAAGGUUACGCUCCGGGAUGGGCCCGCGUCCGAUUAGCUAGUUGGCGGGGUAACGGCCCACCAAGGCUACGAUCGGUAGCCGGUCUGAGAGGAUGAUCGGCCACACUGGGACUGAGACACGGCCCAGACUCCUACGGGAGGCAGCAGUGGGGAAUCUUGGACAAUGGGCGAAAGCCUGAUCCAGCGACGCCGCGUGGGUGAUGAAGGCCUUCGGGUUGUAAAGCCCUUUUCCCAGGGACGAUGAUGACGGUACCUGGGGAAUAAGCACCGGCUAACUCCGUGCCAGCCGCCGCGGUAAUUC
rnacentral:rRNA from 1 species